CUGGCUCAGGAUGAACGCUGGCGGUCUGCUUAACACAUGCAAGUCGAACGCAACCUUCGGGUUGAGUGGCGGACGGGUGAGUAACGCGUGAGAAUCUGCCUUGGGGUCGGGGACAACCACUGGAAACGGUGGCUAAUACCGGAUAAGCCUUUGGGUAAAAAAUUUAUUGCCCCAAGAGGAGCUCGCGUCUGAUUAGCUAGUUGGUGAGGUAAAAGCUCACCAAGGCAGCGAUCAGUAGCUGGUCUGAGAGGACGAUCAGCCACACUGGGACUGAGACACGGCCCAGACUCCUACGGGAGGCAGCAGUGGGGAAUUUUCCGCAAUGGGCGAAAGCCUGACGGAGCAAGACCGCGUGAGGGAGGAAGGCUCUUGGGUUGUAAACCUCUUUUCUCAGGGAAGAAGCUCUGACGGUACCUGAGGAAUCAGCCUCGGCUAACUCCGUGCCAGCAGCCGCGGUAAUACGGAGGAGGCAAGCGUUAUCCGGAAUUAUUGGGCGUAAAGCGUCCGCAGGUGGCGAUUCAAGUCUGCUGUCAAAGCACGGGGCUUAACUCCGUUAAGGCAGUGGAAACUGGAUAGCUAGAGUGCCGUAGGGGUAGAGGGAAUUCCCGGUGUAGCGGUGAAAUGCGUAGAGAUCGGGAAGAACAUCGGUGGCGAAAGCGCUCUACUGGACGGCAACUGACACUCAGGGACGAAAGCUAGGGGAGCGAAUGGGAUUAGAUACCCCAGUAGUCCUAGCUGUAAACGAUGGAUACUAGGUGUAGCUUGUAUCGACCCGAGCUGUGCCGAAGCUAACGCGUUAAGUAUCCCGCCUGGGGAGUACGCACGCAAGUGUGAA
rnacentral:rRNA from 1 species